GUCAUAGUCACAGCUACUGAUUCACCUGCCUUCCUGUCUGGUUUUUGCGGGCCCUGGGAGGAAGUGUUUAUUGGCUCCUGAGUCACCAGCCCCUGCCACCUGCUGGCCUCUCCCCACAAGUGUCCCCCUUUCCAUGUUGCUUCCCCUUUGACCCUAGGAUUUCUGCUCUCUGUCUGUUCUCUGGGUGGCGCAGCCAAUCAGCUUGUGAGAUCAGAGACGUUGAGCUCUGGGAGCCACUGCUUGCCCUGUACCUCUCUGUGCCGUCCUGCCUCUGCCUGAGCAGGCCUGGCUGCUUCGAGGGGAUCCCAGGCCUCUUGCUCCAUGCUGGCUGCCAGGGUGGAGAGCAGCUCAACCUUCCUCCCAUGUGACAUUGGCCAUCAGAAGCCGGCUGCCAAUGGGUACAAGAUGGGACCAUGGCACCAGUGUGCCUCUGAGACAUGGGAUAGACACUCACUUCCUGAGGCGCCCGCAGAAGCUGAGGUUGCGUUGAAGCUGAGGCUGGCAGGCAGUGGACACCCCAGCAUCUCAAAGACAGAAGCAGGGACAGUGUCGCUUUUCUGUCUCAGCCACUGCCAAUGCCUGGUCCCGAGUAGAGGCUGGAGGACGAUGCACCUAAGUCUAGUGUCAGCUUUUCAUGUCACCCCGGUGGGGGCCUGUGCCUGGGAGACGAAGAAGCCUCUCACAUUUCUUGCACGAGGCCACCUGACUGGAGCACAGAAGCUAUGACCCCAAAACAAGUGCGGGCAACUGCUCUGUGGCUCUGUGCUCUGUGGCUGGCUAUGAAGACCAGGAAAAGGCAGGUAUGGUGGUGCUUGCCUGUAGUCCUGGCACUCAGGAGGCUGAGGCAGGAAGAGUGCUGCAAAUUCGAGGCCAGCCUGGGUGACAUAAUGAGUUCAAGGCCAGUCUGAACUGCAUACUUGCCAAGGUGGAUGUCGUUCUAGUUAUGCACAUGUAUAAGCAGGUGUGGGCCUUGUGUUGAGGAGGGAAGCCCUGUGUCCCAGGUUCUUACAUGCUGUCUGCUGAGAAGUCACUGCCCGGGGACUCCUAGCACCCAUGUGAGCCAUGACAGCUGGAAAAAAGGAUUGGCUCUAAAAUAAG
rnacentral:lncRNA from 1 species